GUGAGGAAUAUUGGUCAAUGGGCGAGAGUCUGAACCAGCCAAGUCGCGUGAAGGAAGAAGGAUCUAUGGUUCGUAAACUUCUUUUGCAGGGGAAUAAAGUGCAGGACGUGUCCUGUUUUGUAUGUACCCUGAGAAUAAGGAUCGGCUAACUCCGUGCCAGCAGCCGCAGUAAUACGGAGGAUCCGAGCGUUAUCCGGAUUUAUUGGGUUUAAAGGGUGCGUAGGUGGUUUGAUAAGUCAGCGGUGAAAGUUUGCAGCUUAACUGUAAAAAUGCCGUUGAAACUGUCGGACUUGAGUGUAAAUGAGGUAGGCGGAAUGCGUGGUGUAGCGGUGAAAUGCAUAGAUAUCACGCAGAACUCCGAUUGCGAAGGCAGCUUACUAAGCUACAACUGACACUGAAGCACGAAAGCGUGGGGAUCAAACAGGAUUAGAUACCCCGGUAGUCC
rnacentral:rRNA from 1 species